rnacentral:rRNA from 1 species
UGGGGAAUAUUGCACAAUGGGGGAAACCCUGAUGCAGCGACGCCGCGUGAACGAAGAAGGUAUUCGUAUCGUAAAGUUCUGUCCUAUGGGAAGAUAAUGACAGUACCAUAGAAGAAAGCUCCGGCUAAAUACGUGCCAGCAGCCGCGGUAAUACGUAUGGAGCGAGCGUUGUCCGGAAUUAUUGGGUGUAAAGGGUACGCAGGCGGUUUAAUAAGUCGAAUGUUAAAGAUCGGGGCUCAACCCCGCAAAGCAUUGGAAACUGAUAAACUUGAGUAGUGGAGAGGAAAGUGGAAUUCCUAGUGUAGUGGUGAAAUACGUAGAUAUUAGGAGGAAUACCAGUAGCGAAGGCGACUUUCUGGACACAAACUGACGCUGAGGUACGAAAGCGUGGGGAGCAAACAGG